AAAAAUCUAUGCACUGGGAGAUAUGUUUCUUGCUAUGGCAAAACUACGAAAGGGUUUAUCCCAUAUUGACAACUUUCACUUUCUUAUGAAAAUUAUCAGGGUUGAUUUACUGGGGAGGGAGUUAUCUGGAUGCAUAUUGAGAUGCAACUUUUAAUAAUUGAUUCAUUUUUCAUGAUGUGCUGGCUAAAGGAUUCUUGUGACUUUUUGUGGGGUCAUGUUCCAUUAUAGUCUUCUGUUCCUUUGCAUUGCAUUAAACAAAAGAAAGGGAAGCGUGAAAAGGUUAGGAGAAAGAUAAUGUGUUGUGAAAAGUGGAAACCCACUAAAUUAAGGAAUG
rnacentral:lncRNA from 1 species